CGCGUAGGUGGAUUACUAAGUCAGAUGUGGAAGCCCAGGGCUCAACCUUGGAACUGCAUUUGAUACUGGUAGUCUUGAGUACAGUAGAGGGAGGUGGAAUUUCAGGUGUAGCGGUGAAAUGCGUAGAUAUCUGAAGGAACAUCAGUGGCGAAGGCGGCCUUCUGGACUGAUACUGACACUGAGGUGCGAAAGCGUGGGGAGCGAACA
rnacentral:rRNA from 1 species